rnacentral:lncRNA from 1 species
GAUAACCUGUAACGGCGCCGACGUCGACGGCAGCGAUCUCUAAACUAUGUGUUUUAUCCUUCAAACUUAUACCGUAACCGGCUUCUCAAAAAUCAAAAUAGGGGCAUAGGACCAAAGGAAACUGAUCGGGGACCGCUCGAAAAAGAAAGCUUGGAAAGUUUGUACAGUGAAAGUUGGUAUAUACGGUGAGCAUCAUCAGUAAGAAAAACUGCGAAACACCUUCUCAGUACGGAGUACAGUGAAGAGAUAAUUGAGUGUUGGAAUCCAUUACAGGCAUUGGAGAGGCGUUUGAAAAAGAGGAAAUUGAUUACGUAGUAUGCAGAAGUCCGCUAAGUUUUCAAUCGACUAUGAAUAUAAGCAAGACACGUUGAUCUUCGCAUUGGAUACUGAUACAAAUAGCGGGCAGUAAAAUUGCCAGGAGACACAGAAUUUGUAUAUACUGGCACGAUAUCUAUUUGGUGUAAUACUGUGCUGCCAUUAUAUAGAAUAACUUGUAUGGCCAUUGAUUCAAUUAUAUCUUAGCUUAAAAUAUAUUCGUGUACUUUUAGAAGCUGGUUUAGCCGUGUAACUAAUCAGCAUCUUAGAUGCCUUAGUUUCUCGUAGCGCGGAACUUGGAUAACUUUCCAAGAUUUCACAAACUGACGUCAGACGUUGUAACUGAAAUGUAAACUCCAACGCAAUGUACAAAACAUUUUUUUCGUUUUAUUAUCAUAUCUAGCGCAGCAAAUUCGGCACCAAUCGCAGUUAUUUAGUGUCGCUUUUAUUUAACUCACUGACUAUAAGGAUAAACAUUAAAUAAAGGAUUCGUUCUCGUAGAUCGUUUACUAUAACGACGACUAUCGUACAGAUCGAUCUCUAAAGUUGAAACCACGUCGAACACGACACAAUUACGCGGUUUUUCGCGAACUUGUGACGUAUUACGUCUGAUGCAGUCGCAUAGAUACCGUACUUCCAAUUAAUUUUAGACAAUACAUAUUUUUCGAAUAGAGCUUACUGGAUAAGUAGUCUAACUUAAAAACGACCUCUUCUAAAAUCUCUCUUGUAAAAUGAUCACAAAUAAUAAACAAUUGCCAAUAACGAGGUGUAAAAAUUCUCAAGAUAUAGAGGCUCAUUCUAUAAAAGCCUUUGUUUCGCAUCUGGUAUUAAAUAAAAAUCCAGUCUUCCGCCAACGGUUCGUUGCGUAUGUACGAGAUGUUCUAUGCGACUCCUGUUUUCUUUAUUACGGAAUGCUCUCUGGUCACGACUCGCUCUUCGACGGCAGCGGCCUUCGCUGUACGAGGCAUGAAGACAACGGACAUCAGACUUCAGCCAAGUUUCGGUUUGCCACAGCAGCAAUGGCGGCGGUAGUAGCACCGCCACUGGCACCGAGGUCUUUCUACCGUUAGCGUGCUUUAUUCCGAACAAGCCUCGUCGGCUAGCCGGGGCAUACGGAAACUAAUUGGCCAAAUUUCCAACAGCCCUUACUACCUCACACUCGGGCCGAACGCAGUGAUGUUUUGGCAUGACGGCAAUUUUGCCGCUCCUGCAGUGACCCCACGACCUCCUCGAGUCACGAUCGGAUUGCGGAGUUGAUGUCGGUGCUGGCCGUAGAUAAAUAAUUCAGUCGAUUUAUCUGUGACUCAGUUCACUGACGUCUUCAGUUGGUGUCGUUGCACUCCACAGUUACAGCCAUUAUA